AUUGAACGCUGGCGGCAGGCCUAACACAUGCAAGUCGAGCGGAUGAGUGGAGCUUGCUCUAUGAUUCAGCGGCGGACGGGUGAGUAAUGCCUAGGAAUCUGCCUGGUAGUGGGGGACAACGUUUCGAAAGGAACGCUAAUACCGCAUACGUCCUACGGGAGAAAGCAGGGGACCUUCGGGCCUUGCGCUAUCAGAUGAGCCUAGGUCGGAUUAGCUAGUUGGUGAGGUAAAGGCUCACCAAGGCGACGAUCCGUAACUGGUCUGAGAGGAUGAUCAGUCACACUGGAACUGAGACACGGUCCAGACUCCUACGGGAGGCAGCAGUGGGGAAUAUUGGACAAUGGGCGAAAGCCUGAUCCAGCCAUGCCGCGUGUGUGAAGAAGGUCUUCGGAUUGUAAAGCACUUUAAGUUGGGAGGAAGGGCAGUAAGCUAAUACCUUGCUGUUUGACGUACCGACAGAAUAA
rnacentral:rRNA from 1 species